CCCCCGGCGACCGCCUCCACGCGCACCGCCCGCCUGCAGCUCCCGCACCCCACCUCGUCGGCGUCUUCCCGAGCUCCGCCGCCAUCGACCUCAUCGGCGCAGCCUCCCUUUCUCCUCGCUGUCGGUGCGAUUCCUCUGCCCUGCCCCGUCAACCCCCUUGUCGGCCCACCUGAAGCCCAUCUCCAGCCCGCAGGCCGAGCAAGCGCAAGUCCAUCAGCAGCUAAGCCCACAGCCUAUCUUUUUCUAUUUUCUGGAAAUUGUUAAACCUUGACGUGUGGGCCCUGCUUGUCAGUCUGUGCACUGCUAUUUGUUGCUGCAGCCCGCUACUGUGUUGCCGCUGCUCCGUGUCGAGCCGUCUUGCUGCUGCACUUCGUCGACGCCCACGAAAAACCACAUCGCUUUGGAGAUGAAGCCGCGCGACUACAUCGCCUACGUGAACAACUACUUCGUCUACGAGGACUACAUCGUCUACGACGCCUACUUCCUCUACCAUCGACUACGCCAUGGCGCGCCACGAAGUUGGGGCAAUGGGGGUGGUUUGGAGGAGUUCGGAGGUGGUGGUGGUGCUCAUCCGGUGACCGUGAGGCCGCUUAAGGUUGGGGUUCGCACGCUUCAAGGCACAAAAUGGAGAGAGUAUCGUUGCUAUCUCCAGAGAUUGAGAGUAAGCAUCAGGCUGCUCGAUUGGUGGCGCAUCCUGGGAGUGUCGAGCCUCUUGUCACGCGCACUCCUAAGGAAAAUUGGAUGAUACACCCUGCCUGGAUUCAGCGUUUGAAGUGGGCUGGCCUUUUACCUUUCGCACGACUUGUUGAGGCAACUCGUGCGGAAAU